CUCUCCAUUUCGCAUUUCGAAUAAUAGACUCGGGAUUACAAAAUGUGAAUGUAAACUCUCCAUCUAGUAUUGCUUUCUCGCCCUCUUCGUUUGACAGUGAAGUAACACGGUAUUCACGCUUUCUUAGUUCACGGACGUGAGAGUCAAUGAAAGAGUUCAAUUUGCAAAUGACUAUUAAGAUGGGUUUCUCCAGAAAAUUGUGGCUUUUGCCAAGUCGUCGGGCUACUCUCGGUGUUAGAACUUUGGAAUAUCAAACUCUUCCCAUAACCGAUAGCAAGAUGCAAAUACAUCUUUAAUGUGAAUCAAAU